rnacentral:tRNA from 1 species
GGCCCCGUAGCUCAGCUGGAUAGAGCACUGCGCUUCGAACGCAGUGGUCGGGAGUUCGAAUCUCUCCGGGGUCGCCA